AUAUAUAUCUCACAUUUUGGGGGAAAUAUAUCUCAUAACGUGAGUCAUGUUGAUCCAGACGUACCAUUUAGUGUCGUUACAUACGGUUAUGAUAAAUACGAGGGAUACGGGACAUCAGCAGGUACCUUCUUGAGGCCAUCGCGCUGCAGGCAGGCAACGACUACUUCAUCGCAGGUGACAUCCGAUACAACGUCAGAUUUAACUCAGACGGACAUUGUGACUACUGACGGAACUACAGAUACAGCUCCAACCACUACUG